CGCUCAAUUGAAUAGUUGUAUUUUUCGCAGCUGUUCCUGGUUAGGUCUAAUAAGUACUAUUUAAAACACGCAUAGGAGUGUUUUAUCAAAUUAGGACGGACUUUAAUAUAAAGAAUACUAAUGAAGAUGAGUUUUAUCAGGUAUAAAGCCUCUUCAUGUGACGUAUUAUGGUUGACAUAAUUCGCCAAUAAAGCUUAUCAAUUAUUAAUUAGUGUUUGAAAUGUAUUUAAAAAA